GUACGGGAGGCAGCAGUGGGGAAUAUUGCACAAUGGGCGAAAGCCUGAUGCAGCGACGCCGCGUGAGGGAUGACGGCCUUCGGGUUGUAAACCUCUUUCAGCAGGGAAGAAGCGUGAGUGACGGUACCUGCAGAAGAAGCACCGGCUAACUACGUGCCAGCAGCCGCGGUAAUACGUAGGGUGCAAGCGUUGUCCGGAAUUAUUGGGCGUAAAGAGCUCGUAGGCGGCUUGUUGCGUCGGAUGUGAAAGCCCGGGGCUUAACUCCGGGUCUGCAUUCGAUACGGGCAGGCUAGAGUUCGGUAGGGGAGACUGGAAUUCCUGGUGUAGCGGUGAAAUGCGCAGAUAUCAGGAGGAACACCGGUGGCGAAGGCGGGUCUCUGGGCCGAUACUGACGCUGAGGAGCGAAAGCGUGGGGAGCGAACAGGAUUAGAUACCCCGGU
rnacentral:rRNA from 1 species